UACGGAGGAUGCGAGCGUUAUCCGGAUUUAUUGGGUUUAAAGGGUGCGUAGGCGGGGAUUUAAGUCAGCGGUAAAAUGUCGGUGCCCAACGCCGGCCGGCCGUUGAAACUGAGUUCCUUGAGUGGGCGAGAAGUAUGCGGAAUGCGUGGUGUAGCGGUGAAAUGCAUAGAGAUCACGCAGAACUCCGAUUGCGAAGGCAGCAUACCGGCGCUCAACUGACGCUGAGGCACGAAAGUGCGGGGAUCAAACAGG
rnacentral:rRNA from 1 species